UACGGAGGAGGCAAGCGUUAUCCGGAAUUAUUGGGCGUAAAGCGUCCGCAGGUGGCACCUCAAGUCUGCUGUCAAAGACCGGGGCUUAACCCCAGAAAGGCAGUGGAAACUGAAGUGCUAGAGUGCAGUAGGGGUAGAGGGAAUUCCCGGUGUAGCGGUGAAAUGCGUAGAGAUCGGGAAGAACAUCGGUGGCGAAGGCGGCAUCCUGGACCGACAUUGACGCGUGAACG
rnacentral:rRNA from 1 species